GGCUUGGAAACACUGCUGUCCCGUAGCAAGGAGAGCCUGGAAGAAAAUGAGUCCCUUACAGGGACAAAAGGAAGUAUUUUGAGUGCUCAAAUCCUGUUCCAAUUUGUGUCCCUCUGAAGCCUGAGGAACUGCCCUGCCGCUCGGUGGCGUGCAGUUCAGAUUUGCUGGACCUAGGACCACAUUUGUGGUUUACAAUGGCUGCUUAGUGCUGCUCCACACUUGUCUUUAUAUCCCUCUGAAGAAGGACUCAUUAAGCUACUAUACAGAUGUCCAAUUACUCCAGCACCAUUUGUUGAAGAAGACUAUCUUUCCCCCAUUGAACUGCUUUUGCACCUUUGUCAAAAACAGAUGGGAAGAGUCGUGAAAAAAAAAAGAGGAGACAGAAACCUCUGCUAUUAAAAAUAUCUUCCUCUCCUAACCAAAAACAAAGCUGUGUGCAUAUAUGUAUAUGUGUGUGAGAGAGACAGUGCCUGCAUUCCAGCCUGCCUGCCAGAUUGCUCACACUUUGCGGAUCACUUCCCUACGGUGCCUAGACACCCAGGGUUCUGUGUUGGACACCAUGAAGAACACAGCAGUGGAUAACACAGCCUUGCCCUUGGGAUUUCACAGGCAGUCCAAGAACAAAAGCCAUGAGAGCCUCACAGAGGCUCAUGUAAAAGCAUCAGAGCAUCUUGUAAAAGCAGAGAAGGGAGAGACUUCUUCCCUAUGGGGAAGAGAAGAGAGUCUUCAGGGAAGAGGGAGCCCUGGAGGAGGUCACGAAUGAUAAGAAGAGCUUUGUGUUCUCUACCCUGAGGAAGUCCCUCCUCCACUUCUGAGAAGCCCAGGUUCUACUUUGACCUUACCAGAGUUACAGGACGGCAGGGUGGGGGAGGGCUGUAGAAUGGGGAAGAGUCUGUACACCUGCUAUGUAUGGCUGUUGGUGGGUUUUUCUUUGUGCCUUUUUUUUCCUGUUUGUUUAAUGCAUAUUUUUUCCUCCUGCCUUCAGGACACAGUGACCUAUAUUUCAGUUUUGGCAAGGGACAAUGCCAGAGUGUGGGAAGGAAGAGCCCUGGGCAGAGAUAGUUAAACUUUGGCAGGCUAAUGUUUGAUGCUGCUUCAUUGCCUUCUUACUUUUAAAUAUAAGAACCACACCAUCCAGAGAAGGAACAAAGACAGGUGACCUCUCAAGACCCUUUUCAACUACUCUGACUCUGAAGUACCCAGGAAUAUAUUUUUUUAAAUGCAUGUAAACACUAGAUGCAUAGGACCCCCUGAGCGUUCCUAAAAUAUGUCUUGGACCCUCUUACUGCUCUGCUUAACAGCUUCAAUGAGUAUCUCCUAUCUAGAGAAAAAACUUCAAAUUCCUCAUGGUGGCAUUCAAGACACUUCAAAUUCUAGCCUCUACCUUGGCACCUGCUACUUUCUUCCGAUCUCCCACCAGACAUACCAAGCCAUAUGUUCCUCCCUGCACAUACUGGCUCUAUCCCCCAUGACAGCUCAGCCAAUUCUCUACCACCUUGCCCCAUCUCUCUAAGUCCCACUCACCUUCCUGCCCCAGUUCAGAA
rnacentral:lncRNA from 1 species